rnacentral:rRNA from 1 species
AGAAGCUUGCUUCUUCUGAUGGCGACCGGCGCACGGGUGCGUAACGCGUAUCAAACCUGCCUCAUACUCGGGGAUAGCCUUGCGAAAGUAAGAUUAAUACCCGAUGUUGUUAUGUUUCCGCAUGGUGAUAUAACCAAAGAUUUAUCGGUAUGAGAUGGUGAUGCGUCCGAUUAGGUAGUAGGCGGGGUAACGGCCCACCUAGCCAUCGAUCGGUAGGGGUUCUGAGAGGAAGGUCCCCCACACUGGAACUGAGACACGGUCCAGACUCCUACGGGAGGCAGCAGUGAGGAAUAUUGGUCAAUGGACGGAAGUCUGAACCAGCCAAGUAGCGUGCAGGAUGACGGCCCUCUGGGUUGUAAACUGCUUUUAGUUGGGAAUAAAAAAGAGGACGUGUCCUCUAUUGUAUGUACCUUCAGAAAAAGGACCGGCUAAUUCCGUGCCAGCAGCCGCGGUAAUACGGAAGGUCCAGGCGUUAUCCGGAUUUAUUGGGUUUAAAGGGAGCGUAGGCGGAUUAUUAAGUCAGUGGUGAAAGACGGUGGCUCAACCAUCGUUAGCCAUUGAAACUGGUAGUCUUGAGUGCAGACAGGGAUGCUGGAACUCGUGGUGUAGCGGUGAAAUGCUUAGAUAUCACGAUGAACUCCGAUCGCGAAGGCAGGUGUCCGGGCUGCAACUGACGCUGAGGCUCGAAAGUGUGGGUAUCAAACAGGAUUAGAUACCCUGGUAGUCCACACAGUAAACGAUGUAUACUCGCGGUUUGCGAUAGACAGU